UACGUAGGGGGCAAGCGUUAUCCGGAAUUACUGGGUGUAAAGGGAGAGUAGGCGGCAUGGUAAGCCAGAUGUGAAAGCCUUGGGCUUAACCCGAGGAUUGCAUUUGGAACUAUCAAGCUAGAGUACAGGAGAGGUAAGUGGAAUUCCUAGUGUAGCGGUGAAAUGCGUAGAUAUUAGGAAGAACACCAGUGGCGAAGGCGACUUACUGGACUGAAACUGACGCUGAGGCUCGAAAGCGUGGGGAGCGAAC
rnacentral:rRNA from 1 species